GAUGAACGCUGGCGGUAUGCUUAACACAUGCAAGUCGAACGGACUCUUCGGAGUUAGUGGCGGACGGGUGAGUAACGCGUGAGAAUCUGGCUUUGGGUUCGGGACAACCACUGGAAACGGUGGCUAAUACCGGAUGUGCCGAGAGGUAAAAGAGAAAUUGCCUGCAGAUGAGCUCGCGUCUGAUUAGCUAGUUGGUGAGGUAAAGGCUCACCAAGGCAGCGAUCAGUAGCUGGUCUGAGAGGAUGACCAGCCACACUGGGACUGAGACACGGCCCAGACUCCUACGGGAGGCAGCAGUGGGGAAUGUUCCGCAAUGGGCGAAAGCCUGACGGAGCAAUACCGCGUGAGGGAAGAAGGCUCUUGGGUUGUAAACCUCUUUUCUUAGGGAAGAACAAAAUGACGGUACCUAAGGAAUCAGCAUCGGCUAACUCCGUG
rnacentral:rRNA from 1 species